rnacentral:rRNA from 1 species
CCUACGGGCGGCAGCAGUGGGGAAUAUUGGACAAUGGGCGAAAGCCUGAUCCAGCCAUGCCGCGUGUGUGAAGAAGGCCUUCGGGUUGUAAAGCACUUUCAGUGGGGAAGAAAGCCUUGGGGCUAAUACCCUCGAGGAAGGACAUCACCCACAGAAGAAGCACCGGCUAACUCCGUGCCAGCAGCCGCGGUAAUACGGAGGGUGCGAGCGUUAAUCGGAAUUACUGGGCGUAAAGCGCGCGUAGGCGGUCUGAUAAGCCGGUUGUGAAAGCCCCGGGCUCAACCUGGGAACGGCAUCCGGAACUGGCAGGCUAGAGUGCAGGAGAGGAAGGUAGAAUUCCCGGUGUAGCGGUGAAAUGCGUAGAGAUCGGGAGGAAUACCAGUGGCGAAGGCGGCCUUCUGGACUGACACUGACGCUGAGGUGCGAAAGCGUGGGUAGCAAACAGGAUUAGAUACCCUAGUAGUC